CUGAUCAAGAGGCUCCUGGAAAUAAUGACCGUGCAACUCAAUCCGAUGAUGUCCCCGGGUCUCUGUUUCCACUGGUGCCCUUGGCAGGCAGUUCCCAGGAGAGCAGCCCAGCCAAGAACUGCAUGGGAACAACAGCUUCUGCUGGGGGUAAGCUUUAUUAUUAUGUGAAGAUGUAAAGAGAGGGAGAAGCUGGUGACGCACCUUGGGACAAUA
rnacentral:lncRNA from 1 species